GGUGAGAAAGAAAUGUAUACCCUGGGAAUCACUAAUUUUCCCAUUCCUGGAGAGCCUGGUUUUCCACUUAAUGCAAUUUAUGCCAAACCUGCGAAUAAACAGGAAGACGAAGUCAUGCGAGCCUACCUACAGCAGCUAAGGCAAGAGACUGGACUGAGACUUUGUGAGAAAGUUUUUG